ACAUGUAGUCGGUCCAUUUCGAGUCGACUGUUCCAUGUGAAGACAUUGAAAAUCAACAUAGCUCCAAGUUAAACAGAGAAUAUUUCGAAAAAAUUUCAAAAAAUUUCUCUAAGCGAAUUUUUUAUUCGAAAAAAUGAUCAUUGAUAAUAGAUGAAAUUGAUCAAUUCCAUUGAUUUUAAUGCUUUGGUAAAAUUAAAAAGCAAAAAAAAAACAUGUGAACAUCACCGUGAAAACCACGUGGCGAACAUGAGGUGAAUUUUGUUACCAUCAUGUGAAUGGCAUUGAACUUGAGCACAAACAAAAGAGAAAAACACCGUUUUACAUAAAGAUAUGCUCGCCAUUCAACCGCCUGGCCGACGGAGCGUUGAUAUUUUGUGUCGAUAAGGCCGAUGAAGUGCCAGCGAGAACGAGUCAUUUGCACUACACUCAUUCGAGAAAAUAAUUCCAAAAUAAUUGUUGAAAUUUAUUGCUUGUUUUUGAUCUUGAAUUAUUCAAUCGAAUUGUGAAAAACUGAGUAAAAACAUUUUCCGGAUGCUUUUUUUGAAU